rnacentral:snoRNA from 1 species
AUUGAAUGAUGAUAAACUUUUUUUUCAGUUCUGCUUCUGAACAUACAGGAAGAUAACUCAUUUUACCAAAUUUAUUUUCUGAUCA